rnacentral:rRNA from 1 species
GACGAAGGUUGCGAGCGUUGUUCGGAAUCACUGGGCUUAAAGCGCAUGUAGGUGGACCAGAAAGUAGUUUGUGAAAUCCCCCGGCUUAACCGGGGCAUUGCUUGCUAAACUACUGGUCUUGAGGCAAGCAGGGGUGCAUGGAACUCUUGGUGGAGCGGUGGAAUGCGUAGAUAUCAAGAGGAACGCCAGCGGUGAAAACGGUGCACUGGGCUUGUUCUGACACUGAGAUGCGAAAGCGUGGGGAGCAAACGGGAUUAGAUACCCCGGUAGUCCACGCCCUAAACGAUGCCUACUAGGUUGUGGGAGUUCUGACACUCUCACGGCCGAAGCUAAAGUGUUAAGUAGGCCGCCUGGGGAGUACGGUAGCAAGGCUAAA